rnacentral:rRNA from 1 species
UACAGAGGUGGCAAGCGUUGUUCGGAAUUACUGGGCGUAAAGGGCUCGUAGGCGGCCAACUAAGUCAGACGUGAAAUCCCUCGGCUUAACCGGGGAACUGCAUCUGAUACUGGAUGGCUUGAGUUCGGGAGAGAGAUGCGGAAUUCCAGGUGUAGCGGUGAAAUGCGUAGAUAUCUGGAGGAACACCGGUGGCGAAGGCGGCAUCCUGGACCGACACUGACGCUGAGGAGCGAAAGCCAGGGGAGCAAACGGG